GGGGUCAGCACUGGGUAACUCACACCAGGCAACUUAUUGAUUCCUUGCAUGACUUCAGCAUGGUCGGCCAUCUGCGGCACCCAUCGUGGGGACACAAAACUGGUGGCCUCGAUAACCGGCAGCCCCGUCUCCGACAACAUGUCGAUCAGGCGGAUCUUCACUGGCGUCGGCACCACGCUCUUCUCGUUCUGCAGCCCGUCGCGCGGCCCCACCUCCACCACCUUCACUCUCUGCGGGAAGGCCGCGGUGCUGACCGGCCGCAAGGACACAGCCCAGCGCGGCAGCAACCUCCGCACCGCCGCCAUGGCUGCCCGAACCUCCUCACGUGACAGCUACCACGUGAUUCAGAGAGGGCGGAGCUCUGCAGUCACGUGAGAGCGGCGCCAGAGUGUGGGAGUACCUGGCGGCGGGUGGUAUCACGUGACAGCGGUACGGCUGCGAACCGCGGCAUUGUGCGCUGAGAGUGCCUCGCGACGCGCUCAGGAUGCGUUCGGGACGAGCCUCGCCGAGCGCCGCCUCUUAUAGCCGCACGCCGUGCUCGGCGCCGCUGAGCAAACAGCUCGUGUUUGCCCAGGGCCACCCCGCGCCGCGUCACCGGCGGGCCUCCCGUGCCAGGGCCGUCAGCGCGGGCCGUUCCGCAGCCUGCGAAUGGGGAAACGCCGCCGCAGAUCUCCGAGCGCGUCCGCCCCCACCGAGACGCGGAGCAACGCCCGGGCUGACGCCGUGCCGGGACGCGAUGCGCAGCCCCGUGCCAGGCCUCGCCUCCAGACCCUCACGCAGCCUCCCCCCCCCACCUCCAGCAGCGGGGCGGGGGCUCAGAUUUAGACCAAGACCCCUUUUCCCUGGCAGAACGCCGCCGGGCUGGCAGCAAGGCCUGAUGAUGCCUUACAGAAUGGUUAGAAGAUAAAUCCUGUCAUGAAAAACAAUUUAUUUAACAGUGAAUGAACAACUCAUCUGAGGCUCAAUCGAAAAGACGGGUGGGGGGCGGCCGCUUUCAGCCCGUGGCUGUCACUUCACGCCCUCCAGCCGAACAGCCCAACCCGGCUGUGAGCGCACAGGAGACGGAGGCGCGUCAGGCAAAGUCACCAGCAGUCCUUCACCGGGAGGCUGCUGCCACUGCAGAGUCCCCGCAAAACCCAACAUCGUCACCUGCAAAAAGGGCACGGGGACACUCAGUUGCAGCUCAGGUGGGCACUUUGAACACUGCAGGACACCCAAACCACGUUUCAGUCUGCACAACUUCCCACAUUCGAGGCAGCCCUGUACUUUUCCACCUGCCAUUCAGAAUACACAAAUGGCAACAUAAGGGAUAUUUUUGGGCCAAACGUUUGACUGUAGUGUGCUGGGUUAUGGGUGGCCUAAAAAAAAAAAAAAAAGCAACUGAGAAGGCUUUACCUGUGUUUGUUUAGAGCAAAGGGCACAGCAGCAUUUGCGUCACAAUUACAUCUGCAAUUAGCAAGUCAGUGUACCUCAUCUGAAUUGAUCCCUUCUGUGUGUGAGGCUUGUUAUUUACUUUGCCUCUCUGUGUCAAUAGGGUCAAAACAGUUGUGGGGAGAAAUGUUCCUACCUAUUCUAUGGGAGACAAACUCACCCUAUCCAUAUUCCACGUUGAACAGUGAGAUCAAACCUGAAGAAUAACAGAGGAUACUGCAAGGGUGUGGGUGAAAGCACCCCAUACCAAUCAGUAAGGGAUAACAACUUCAUGUUCUCUCCAGUACAAGUUGAGCUGGGCCUUCUCAGCCCACAUGUGCCCAAGGUGGGUUCUAAAAGUGCAUUAGGUCUUUUUUCUUCAAGUUCCUUACUUGCG
rnacentral:lncRNA from 1 species